rnacentral:rRNA from 1 species
AUUGAACGCUGGCGGCAUGCUUUACACAUGCAAGUCGAACGGCAGCGCGGGCUUCGGCCUGGCGGCGAGUGGCGAACGGGUGAGUAAUGCAUCGGAACGUGCCCAGUAGUGGGGGAUAGCCCGGCGAAAGCCGGAUUAAUACCGCAUACGACCUGAGGGUGAAAGCGGGGGACCGAAAGGCCUCGCGCUUUUGGAGCGGCCGCUGUCGGAUUAGCUAGUUGGUGGGGUAAAGGCUUACCAAGGCGACGAUCCGUAGCUGGUCUGAGAGGACGACCAGCCACACUGGGACUGAGACACGGCCCAGACUCCUACGGGAGGCAGCAGUGGGGAAUUUUGGACAAUGGGGGCAACCCUGAUCCAGCCAUGCCGCGUGCGGGAAGAAGGCCUUCGGGUUGUAAACCGCUUUUGUUCGGGAAGAAAUCCUCUGGGCUAAUACCCCGGGGGGAUGACGGUACCGGAAGAAUAAGCACCGGCUAACUACGUG